rnacentral:misc_RNA from 1 species
GAUGAAGAACGCAGCGAAAUGCGAUAAGUAAUGCGAAUUGCAGAAUUCCGUGAGUCAUCGAAUCUUUGAACGCACAUUGCGCCCUUUGGUAUUCCUUAGGGCAUGCCUGUUCGAGCGUCAUUUAAACCUUCAAGCUAAGCUUGGUGUUGGGUGACUGUCCGCUUCACGGCGGACUCGCCUCAAAAUUAUUGGCGGCCGGUACAUUGGCUUCGAGCGCAGCAGAAACGCGAACUCGGGCCCGUCGUAUUGGCUCCCAGAAGCUAUCUUCACAAUUUUGACCUCGGAUCAGGUAGGGAUACCCGCUGAACUUAAGCAUAUCAAUAAGCGGAGGA